GGAGGCGUGCCAGAGUGGUCGAAUGGGCUCGCUUGGAAAGCGAGUAUCCCGCUUUGCGGGAUCACAGGUUCGAAUCCUGUCGCCUCCGCCA
rnacentral:tRNA from 3 species